CGAUAACCGUGGCUUCACCCAGCACAGCCUUGAUAUAGUGCGUCUUUGGGUCUUUCUUCGCUAUACCCUCCGCAAGCUCUUUGGCUCGGUGCUCAAUUCCUUCGGGCGUUUGCUCUCCCAUCAAGCAUAACGUCACGGGGUCACGGGAAUAGGCAUCAGAUUCAACCAGGGCGAGGGUUGAGGCAUCCUCCACUUCUGCGGGGAGGAUUCGGAUUGCGGGCGGAGUGUGAUCCAUUUUCUAAGACUUUGUUGUUGAUUUUGCUUGGCUUUUUCCUUUGGGGCGGAUGUGGUUUACUGUGGUUGGGGUGUUUGAUGGAAGUAUUUAGUUCGUAUUUAUUAAGUGAACAACGAAUGUUCUCAGCCUCCAAUCCGAGUGAAAGCAUCUUGACUCCCGACGAUGUUUUUUAUUGUGGGGAUCAAGAUUAAGCAGGAAUGUAACCUGAGUCGGCGAGUUGUUCGUCCAAGCUAGGCCUGUUGUGUUCGCCGAUACUACGAAGCUAACCUAAAUUUUGCACAGGUGACUGCUUAAUACAAGCACAUCAUAGUUGCAUUUAUUUAGUAUAUUGCACAGUACAGACAUUUUCCCAAGGCCUUCCAGAAAGAAAAAGGCCCUUUCCCGUUAAUUAUUGCGGCAAACUGUCUCCCCUUUUGCCGUUGGGGUUGUUGUCGGCCCGAGUCCCCCACAUGCUGCCCCUGAAGACACUGUGUCCCCUGUUUGCCAUGAUCUAAUUUUUAUUCCAUUAAGAUCGAAAACUUCUCCCUUCUCAAUUGGCCAAGGCAAUCCUGGUAUAAUCACCUUCAGAAGGAAAAAAAAAAAAUAUCUACAUUUUCAAUUUUCAAAUCGCUUUGUUAUAGCCCAUGUACAGUACAUGUACAUGUACAUACUUCGAGUAGCAGCA
rnacentral:sRNA from 1 species